UCUGAGCUCGCUACUUCCCGACGCCGCACUCAUGGCACAAGUCAAAGAUACCAGGAAGCCACCUGUAGCCAUGGGGGAGUCUCCCCCGGCGCCAUACCGGGACCCAGACCCGCCCAGACCCGCCAAACCGCCGACUCUGCACAAGGUCCAGCGAGAUGUGUACGGAAUGCCGGUUAUGUGGGAGACAACGUACCACAACGCCUUCAACACAGAGAAACAGCUCCAUCGCUUCUGAAUUGCCAACAACUGACCAGCAACGACACCUAGCGUAUUAAGGAUGAAAAGCAUCUUAAAGCCAGUUGACAUCACAGACAGACAUUCGUAAAAGGCACACCAAUUUAAUUUGUUGUUUCUCGGAUUUUUUAGAAAAAAUAUCAAGCGACAGGGCGAAAAA